ACAACCAGCUUCUGUCAACCAAAGAUGACCAUUCAAUCCAUGUACCCUUCAUACUUAUGAAGACACACAGAUAUUAUUGCAGCCUCUCUAGUUUAAGUCACAACUUAAUAAAUAAGGAAGUGAAUAAGACAGAAAGAAAAGAAUAUUAAGUGGUGAUGGGGAAUGCUGUUCUAGGAUCCACCAUCAACUCUUCAGGCUCCUGGCCAACAAGUGGACCAAGCAAAUGGUCCUUAGGGGACAUAAACCGUGGCAAUGAGCUGGGGAGAAGACAUCACAGAGUGAUGUAUCUGCAGUGUUUCCUGCCAGAUUUCAGAUAAGACCUCUCAUCAGAUGCUGCAGGCUCCUUUGUGCAGCACAAGAAAGGGCCAAAGCCUGCAACCUGCUGCCCAGCCUUACUGAUUGAGGAAACUAGCUGUUCUCUUCACUUGGCAGACCCAUGACAAGUGGGAGGUGAGAGCUGUACCGGAUGUGCUCUGAAGAGGAAGCAAGGGCAAAAGAAAACAGAAGGCUUGGGGUGGGGGCACCUUUUCUGUAACCAUGGAAACCAGGCUGGGCUCCUUGCUUACUUUGGCAUUUUCCCCCUCUUCAUAUGGCUAUGAUUCUCUUUUACCCCUGGCCCCCAAAUCUCCCUCUUCUGCCAUCUUUAGAGUUGUAGACUCUGUCCGUGUCUUUUCAAGUCUGAAGAGCAGGACGAGGAAGGAAAACUUCUUCUGCUAUGCC